rnacentral:rRNA from 1 species
AAUACGAAGGGACCUAGCGUAGUUCGGAAUUACUGGGCUUAAAGAGUUCGUAGGUGGUUGAAAAAGUUAGUGGUGAAAUCCCAGAGCUUAACUCUGGAACUGCCAUUAAAACUUUUCAGCUAGAGUAUGAUAGAGGAAAGCAGAAUUUCUAGUGUAGAGGUGAAAUUCGUAGAUAUUAGAAAGAAUACCAAUUGCGAAGGCAGCUUUCUGGAUCAUUACUGACACUGAGGAACGAAAGCAUGGGUAGCGAAGAGGAUUAGAUACCCUCGUAGUCCAUGCCGUAAACGAUGUGUGUUAGACGUUGGAAAUUUAUUUUCAGUGUCGCAGCGAAAGCGAUAAACACACCGCCUGGGGAGUACGACCGCAAGGUUAAAACUCAAAUGAAUUGACGGGGACCCGCACAAGUAGUGGAGCAUGUGGUUUAAUUCGAAGAUACGCGCAGAACCUUACCAACACUUGACAUGUUCGUCGCGACUCUAAGAGAUUAGAGUUUUCGGUUCGGCCGGACGAAACACAGGUGCUGCAUGGCUGUCGUCAGCUCGUGUCGUGAGAUGUUGGGUUAAGUCCCGCAACGAGCGCAACCCUCACUUUUAGUUGCCAUCAUUUAGUUGGGCACUCUGAAUGAACUGCCAGUGAUAAGCUGGAGGAAGGCGGGGAUGACGUCAAGUCCUCAUGGCCCUUACGUGUUGGGCUACACACGUGCUACAAUGGUAUCUACAACAGGAAGCAAGACUGCGAGGUCAAGCAAAUCCUUAAAAGAUACCUCAGUUCGGAUUGCACUCUGCAACUCGAGUGCAUGAAGCUGGAAUUACUAGUAAUCGUGGAUCAGCGUGCCACGGUGAAUGCGUUCCCGGGUCUUGUACACACCGCCCGUCACACCAUGGGAGUUGGUUCUACCUUAAGGCAAGGUUUAAAACCCUUGACCACGGUAUAGUCAGCGACUGG